AGUUAUAAUCAAAGCACUCUGAGCUUUCUCACUCUGGCUACCGCAAUAAUUUUUCAACGACACCAACAAGUUGACACUUGGCGAAGUUGUUUCAUUUCAGCCGGUUGCGUCUGCGCUUGUAAUUUUUAAGUAAGUUUAUUUUAGUGUUGAAAAGUUAAGUUUUCCUAGUUCUAAUGCUUUAGGAAAUGGUAAAAGUGUGUGCUUCAGCAAUCCUAGUUCGGGAGGUUUGUGAAAUAAAUUAAGUGUGUGCUUUUGUUCGUGUGCAGCAGCGUUUUACGAGUCUCCUGUGAUGCAAUCUGUUUUGUGAACUUACGUAGGUAAGAAAUAUGAAUAUGUUCUCUGCUUUUUUUCUUCCGCAGUUGUCGCUGACACAAAGCACAACAAGUGUGCUUGUUUGCAAUGUGUUCCUGGUUUUUUGGGAUCGUAUCAUUAUUGCUAUCGAAAUCUGGUAACAUAUCUACCAUAGACUCCAGGCUGCUGAUGCUCGAGUCCAGAUUUUGAGAUGUUUCCGACGACACUAUGGCAGCAGUAGGGUAUAACAAACUGACCCACUGAUAUAUAGCACCAAAAUAACUACGAAAGACAGUAUUUAAAGUUUAAAAUCACUCCUACGCGUAUAUGAAAUUUUGCCGGUAUGAAAAUGUAAACAUCUCAUUUGACAGCUUCGAAUAAAGGCAGAGUUGACACACACA